rnacentral:rRNA from 1 species
GCAAGUCGAACGAACUCUGGUAUUGAUUGGUGCUUGCAUCAUGAUUUACAUUUGAGUGAGUGGCGAACUGGUGAGUAACACGUGGGAAACCUGCCCAGAAGCGGGGGAUAACACCUGGAAACAGAUGCUAAUACCGCAUAACAACUUGGACCGCAUGGUCCGAGCUUGAAAGAUGGCUUCGGCUAUCACUUUUGGAUGGUCCCGCGGCGUAUUAGCUAGAUGGUGGGGUAACGGCUCACCAUGGCAAUGAUACGUAGCCGACCUGAGAGGGUAAUCGGCCACAUUGGGACUGAGACACGGCCCAAACUCCUACGGGAGGCAGCAGUAGGGAAUCUUCCACAAUGGACGAAAGUCUGAUGGAGCAACGCCGCGUGAGUGAAGAAGGGUUUCGGCUCGUAAAACUCUGUUGUUAAAGAAGAACAUAUCUGAGAGUAACUGUUCAGGUAUUGACGGUAUUUAACCAGAAAGCCACGGCUAACUACGUGCCAGCAGCCGCGGUAAUACGUAGGUGGCAAGCGUUGUCCGGAUUUAUUGGGCGUAAAGCGAGCGCAGGCGGUUUUUUAAGUCUGAUGUGAAAGCCUUCGGCUCAACCGAAGAAGUGCAUCGGAAACUGGGAAACUUGAGUGCAGAAGAGGACAGUGGAACUCCAUGUGUAGCGGUGAAAUGCGUAGAUAUAUGGAAGAACACCAGUGGCGAAGGCGGCUGUCUGGUCUGUAACUGACGCUGAGGCUCGAAAGUAUGGGUAGCAAACAGGAUUAGAUACCCUGGUAGUCCAUACCGUAAACGAUGAAUGCUAAGUGUUGGAGGGUUUCCGCCCUUCAGUGCUGCAGCUAACGCAUUAAGCAUUCCGCCUGGGGAGUACGGCCGCAAGGCUGAAACUCAAAGGAAUUGACGGGGGCCCGCACAAGCGGUGGAGCAUGUGGUUUAAUUCGAAGCUACGCGAAGAACCUUACCAGGUCUUGACAUACUAUGCAAAUCUAAGAGAUUAGACGUUCCCUUCGGGGACAUGGAUACAGGUGGUGCAUGGUUGUCGUCAGCUCGUGUCGUGAGAUGUUGGGUUAAGUCCCGCAACGAGCGCAACCCUUAUUAUCAGUUGCCAGCAUUAAGUUGGGCACUCUGGUGAGACUGCCGGUGACAAACCGGAGGAAGGUGGGGAUGACGUCAAAUCAUCAUGCCCCUUAUGACCUGGGCUACACACGUGCUACAAUGGAUGGUACAACGAGUUGCGAACUCGCGAGAGUAAGCUAAUCUCUUAAAGCCAUUCUCAGUUCGGAUUGUAGGCUGCAACUCGCCUACAUGAAGUCGGAAUCGCUAGUAAUCGCGGAUCAGCAUGCCGCGGUGAAUACGUUCCCGGGCCUUGUACACACCGCCCGUCACACCAUGAGAGUUUGUAACACCCAAAGUCGGUGGGGUAACCUUUUAGGAACCAGCCGC